rnacentral:rRNA from 1 species
CGGAGGUCCAAGCGUUAUCCGGAAUCAUUGGGUUUAAAGGGUCCGUAGGCGGUUUAAUAAGUCAGUGGUGAAAGCCUAUCGCUUAACGAUAGAACGGCCAUUGAUACUGUUAGACUUGAAUUAGUGGGAAGUAACUAGAAUAUGUAGUGUAGCGGUGAAAUGCUUAGAUAUUACAUGGAAUACCAAUUGCGAAGGCAGGUUACUAUCACUAUAUUGACGCUGAUGGACGAAAGCGUGGGGAGCGAACAGGAUU